GUCCAGGGAUGGGAAUCGAACCCACACUGUUCCGCUUACCGCCCAGUAAUAAAGAUGUCAUAUCCACUAGGCUACCCUGGA